rnacentral:lncRNA from 1 species
UAUCAUUCUCUAAAUUGAAAAGUAGCUUCGCUUUUUCAUACUGUAUCUGAGCAGUGAAUUUUAUUACCGUUAAAGUAAUUCACUCUAAAAACAGCAUUCACUACAUGACUAAGUAGCAGCAUUAAUCAGUAAGGACUGAAAUUGCUAAUGUUGGAUUGUGUUACUCACGAAAUGUUCUGUGGUACAAUUGUAGACUCUAGCCAACGCGGUUGUCAAAGUUGUUAUCCCGACAGAAAGGUAUUUUACAGUAUAUGUAACCAUAGAUCAUCUUGACAACAGGUGAUCGCGCUUUUCUAUAUGCUGGUGUUGUUCUGGUCAAGUAUUUUUCACAGUUCUUUUUAUAUUGUUUUAUUUUCCCAUUUUUCAUUACCAUUCGCAUGGAACAAGAGUUAAACGCGUCAAAAAUAGAUUAUGCUGCAUGUAGUUGUUUCUUUACUUCAGAGGAAAUGUUGUUAGUCAACUACUUUCACUAUUUAACAAAUUUUGUGUUACGUAAUAGUUACUGUAUAUGUCUCCUGAUUGGCUAAUAGCUUAUACAGUUAAUUAAGGCUAUCACCUACGGUAACGGAAUUACCAUAACUAAAAAACUAAACUUUUUUUAUCACCAAAAAUCUAUAAGGGUCUCCCUUUAUUGGUUCAUUACUAAAUAAAAUAAAUGGAGUAUUGGGAAACUUGCGGUACAUUGGAAUCUAAGACAUAAAAAAAUCAUAGAUAUUGUAGAAAUCAAACCAGGUUAUCGAAAGCACCUGCACCACAGUGGAAGCAAUCAUGGCAACCGAUAUAACUCAUUUUUGUCAAUAUGUUUCGU